CCUACGGGAGGCUGCAGUGAGGAAUAUUGGUCAAUGGACGAGAGUCUGAACCAGCCAAGUAGCGUGAAGGAUGACUGCCCUAUGGGUUGUAAACUUCUUUUAUAUGGGAAUAAAAUGUUCCACGUGUGGGAUUUUGUAUGUACCAUAUGAAUAAGGAUCGGCUAACUCCGUGCCAGCAGCCGCGGUAAUACGGAGGAUCCGAGCGUUAUCCGGAUUUAUUGGGGUUAAAGGGAGCGUAGGUGGAUUGUUAAGUAAGUUGUGAAAGUUUGCGGCUCAACCGUAAAAUUGCAGUUGAAACUGGCAGUCUAGAGUACAGUAGAGGUGAGCGGAAUUCGUGGUGUAGCGGUGAAAUGCUUAGAUAUCACGAAGAACUCCGAUUGCGAAGGCAGCUCACUGGACUGCAACUGACACUGAGGCUCGAAAGUGUGGGUAUCAAACAGGAUUAGAUACCCGGGUAGUC
rnacentral:rRNA from 1 species